AUUAUUUUGUAAAGACAUUUUUAUAAAAUAUAUGGAAGCUUCAAUUUUUCUUAGAACAUACUACAUUGAAGAACUUUUGUUAAUUUAAAAACAUCAUCUUCCGCUUCAAAUCAAGGUCUUACGCUUAAUAACCGUAAAACUGGUAUUGAACUUACAAUGUCAUUAGCUGAGUUUCAAAAAUGUGUAUUGAACACAUUGUCUACUAUGAAAUAUGACAUAAAUUGUUGUGUACUUACUAAUCAACAAAUUAAUGCUAACAUGAAUGCAUUGCUGGAAAAUUUAAACAAAAAUGCAGUAAUAUCAGAUGAUGGUUUUAAUGAUUAUGACUUAAAUGAUAUACUUCCAAUCGAAAAUCAUGAAUCUCUACAAGAAUUUGAAUUCAAGCUCCAAAAAAAAAAAAUGAAAAUAAUUUUAAAACUAUAAUAGUACACAAAUUGUCAUUGCUUGUUACUAAUAAAAGUGUAGGUGACUCAAUGAAGCGUUUAUUGUCCACAAUGUUUAAUGAUAAAGUUCUUGAAAGUUACUCAACAUAUGUCUUUAAAAAAAGAUUGAUAUUUUCUUCAUUGUAUACUCAUCAACUUCUAUUUGGUAAUUAUAAUUUUUAGCAGUUAUAGAAAAUGAUUGAUACUUUUUUAA